ACACGCCUGGGGAAAAGAAGUAGAUACCAUGUCAGUGGUCACCCAACAGCCUGGAAUUGCCCCAUCUGGAGUUAUAUCGGCUACUGGAGAAUGGAGCUCCAAGCUAUGUGACUGCUGUGAGGAUUGUGGCAUCUGUCUUCUUGGGCUUUGCUGCCCAACAUGCUUUGGAUGCUAUGUGGCUAGUAAAUAUGGAGAACCCUGCCUUUUACCCUUAGUUCCAGGAACAAUGACUGCGAUGCGCACCCACAUGCGUCUCUCAUAUGGCAUUAGAGGUACUAUAUGCAAUGAUGGUCUCUUGCUGUGUUUCUGUGGAUGGUGCGAGUUGUGUAGAAUGGCUCGGGAAAUAAAACGCCAGCAAGGUUAAGCUGAAAGGAUUCAAACACAGGAUGUGACAACAGAAAGCGACAUAAUCAUAAAAGUGCAAAAUCUAUUUACUAUAUGAAGUGAUUUGUAUAACAAAAUAUGAAAUUGUGAAUAACACAAAACUCAUUCAAAACAAUUGUAUUUCUUGUAUAAAACAUUGGCAAAUCAUACUGUUACAACUGACCUGUCUGCCUACAUUCUUUUCUCUUAUUUUUCUCUUAUUUAAAUGUUGCUAAAUUGUAUAACUAAUAGUAUACAGUAAAAAUAACGUUGCAGUAUUCAGCAUCUGGGGGGAAAUAAAAACUAUUGACAAUC